rnacentral:rRNA from 1 species
CAGCCGCCACGGGAAUACGGAGGGUGCAAGCGUUAAUCGGAAUUACUGGGCGUAAAGCGCACGCAGGCGGUUUGUUAAGUCAGAUGUGAAAUCCCCGAGCUUAACUUGGGAACUGCAUUUGAAACUGGCAAGCUAGAGUCUUGUAGAGGGGGGUAGAAUUCCAGGUGUAGCGGUGAAAUGCGUAGAGAUCUGGAGGAAUACCGGUGGCGAAGGCGGCCCCCUGGACAAAGACUGACGCUCAUGUGCGAAAGCGUGGGGAGCAAACAGGAUUAGAUACCCCUGUAGUCCCUGUCUCUUAUAC